rnacentral:misc_RNA from 1 species
AGCAGCCGCGGUAAUUCCAGCUCCAAUAGCGUAUAUUAAAGUUGCUGCAGUUAAAAAGCUCGUAGUUGAAUUUCGGGACUAAUAUGUCGGUCGUGCCUCGGUACGUACUGGCUUAUUGGUUUCUCCUUUCUGAAGAACCAUGAUGUCAUUUAUUUGGUGUCGUGGGGAAUCAGGACUGUUACUUUGAAAAAAUUAGAGUGUUUAAAGCAGGCUCACGCUUGAAUACAUUAGCAUGGAAUAAUGAAAUAGGACGUUUGAUUCUAUUUUGUUGGUUUCUAGGAUCGACGUAAUGAUUAAUAGGGAUAGUUGGGGGCAUUAGUAUUCAAUUGUCAGAGGUGAAAUUCUUGGAUUUAUUGAAGACUAACUACUGCGAAAGCAUUUGCCAAGGAUGUUUUCAUUAAUCAAGAACGAAAGUUAGGGGAUCGAAGACGAUCAGAUACCGUCGUAGUCUUAACCAUAAACUAUGCCGACUAGGGAUCGGAUGAUGUUAAUUUUUUAAUGUACUCAUUCGGCGCCUUAA